ACAGUGUUAUUUUAAAAAAGUACUUUUAAUCUGACAAUUGAGUCUCAUUGCAAUGAAUAUUCUAAUUUACUGAGAUGUACCUGGGUACGAGCAAUGAAGUUUUCUUUAUUUUAGUUUAUUGCUUGCACAAAUUGCUGAAUGUGAAACAUGGUACAUCUAAACUAUCUGAAAACCAUGUAUAUGAUUUUCAUUCAUUUGCUCCAAAGGGGCUGUUAUAAAACCCAAAAAAUUGGAAUGAUUCUGCUGGUAUGAUAUCUCGCUCUCUUUUUAAGUUGCAUCAAACCAAAGGCCAACAGUAUCCAGCCGCCUUUAUAGUGAUACUUUUAAAUUAAAUCCAAAAGUAACCUAAUUGUGAUCCCUCUCCUUCAAGCCACCCCUCCUGCCUUCUCUAAUAACCGUCCUUCCUACUCCCAGUCUGCCUCGUUCAGACUGGAAUCACCUGCAAAGCCUUGUUGAUCAGUCAGAACUGCCAUCCUUCUGUACAUUCAUAUUUUACACUCCUCCCCUCCAGUCAAAGGUACAGGCAGAUAUCCGUAAAAUAUCUCUCCUUGGAAAAAGCUUUGUCUCCUCCACCAUCUCAGCUCUAAAUACUCUCAGUUGACGUUAAUAACAAUUUCUUGGUAUUUAUCGUAUUAGCUACCAAUCUAUCUAUGUCUUGU